rnacentral:rRNA from 1 species
CCUACGGGAGGCAGCAGUGAGGAAUAUUGGUCAAUGGGCGGAAGCCUGAACCAGCCAAGUCGCGUGAGGGAAUAAGGCCCUACGGGUCGUAAACCUCUUUUGCCGGGGAGCAAGGGCGGGGACGUGUCCCGGCCCGGAGAGUACCCGGAGAAAAAGCAUCGGCUAACUCCGUGCCAGCAGCCGCGGUAAUACGGAGGAUGCGAGCGUUAUCCGGAUUUAUUGGGUUUAAAGGGUGCGUAGGCGGUUUUUUAAGUUAGUGGUUAAACGUCGGGGCUUCACCUUGAUUUGCCAUUAAUACUGUAAGACUCGAGUUCAGACGAGGUAGGCGGAAUAAGUUAAGUAGCGGUGAAAUGCUUAGAUAUAACUUAGAACUCCGAUAGCGAAGGCAGCUUACCAGACUGCGACUGACGCUGAAGCACGAGAGCGUGGGUAGCGAACAGGAUUAGAUACCCCAGUAGUC